rnacentral:rRNA from 1 species
CCCUUAGAUGUUCUGGGCCGCACGCGUGCUACACUGACUGCUCCAACAAGUUACCUGGGCUGACAAGCAUCCGGGAAAUCUUGCAAAGGCAGUCGUGAUGGGGAUAGAUUCUUGUAAUUUUUGAUCUUCAACGAGGAAUUCCUAGUAAACGCAAGUCAUCAGCUUGCAUUGAUUACGUCCCUGCCCUUUGUACACACCGCCCGUCGCAUCUACCGAUUGAAUGGAGAGGCAAAAUCUUCGGACCGUGACGCUUGGGAGUCAAAUCUCGGGCUGUCGUGGGAAGUGGAUUAAACCUUUCUAUUUAGAGGAAGGUAAAGUCGUAACA